rnacentral:rRNA from 1 species
CGUGUAGGCGGAUGGGAACGUCGGACAACUGAAACGCCCCCGGCUCAACCGGGGAAGUGGUACCGAAACGACCUGUCUGGAGGGACGUAGGGGGACCUGGAACUUCCGGUGGAGCGGUGAAAUGCGUUGAGAUCGGAAGGAACGCCCGUGGCGAAAGCGAGGUCCUGGACGUCUGCUGACGCUGAGACGCGAAAGCUAGGGGAGCAAACGGGAUUAGAUACCCCGGUAGUCCUAGCCGUAAACGAUGGGCACUGGGUAGGGGGCUCGCCGAUGGGCUCUCUGCCGUAGCGAAAGCGUGAAGUGCCCCGCCUGGGGAGUAUGGUCGCAAGGCUGAA